rnacentral:piRNA from 1 species
UAGCACCAUACUGUGCAGUUCCUAUAAGCUC